UCCAACGCGUGCAAUUUUUCUUCGUUAAGUUUGUACCAAGUAAGGUUCUUAAGAAACAUUUUUGUCAAAGUACAGUUCUGAUGAUGGGUUUCAUGAAGAAUCGAGGGAAUUCCUAAAAUCUUAUAGGCAUACAUGUAAUAAUUUCUGGGAUUUUAUUUACAUAUCAAGCAUUUUUAUUAAAAAAUUGUCAUUUGACUAAGUGUAACAGCUGAUGUUGACCAGAAUGGAACUCGCCAAGUCGCGCGCGAUUUGUUUUAUUAGUUAAGUUUGUAGCAAGUAAGUUUUAAGUACUAAGGUUUUUAGGAACAUUCGUGUCAAGGUAAAGGUCUGAUGAUGGGUCCCAUGAAGAAUCGAGAGAAUUUCUUAAAAGUUAUAGGUAUAUAUAUAGUACUUAUUGGAUUUUCAUCAACAUAUUAUCAAGUUUUAUUCACAAAAGUGACAUUUGAUGAUGUGGAACUACUGAUGUUGACCAAAACGGAACUCCAACGCGCGCAAUUUUUCUUCGUUGUUAAGUUUGUAGCGAGUAAGGUUCUCAAGAAACAUUUUUGUCGAAGUACAGUUCUGAUGAUGUGUUUCAUGAGAAAGCGACGGAACUCCUCAUUCUCCUCAAUUUUUAUAGGUAUAUAGUAAUUUUGGAUUUUCAUCAAUAUCUUUAGCUUUUUUUAUUCACAUUAGUGGCAUUUGAUGAAGUGGAACUAGUGAUGUUGACUAAAACGGAACUCUUCAACGCGUGAGAUUUUAUUCUUUUUUUGUUUGUUGUGAUAUAAGAGGCAAACUAGUAGACGAAUCAACUGAUGGUAAGCAAUUACCGCUGGCCAUGGACAUCUGUUACACCAUAGGGAUUGUAAGUGCGGUGCCGGCAUUUAAGAUAGGAAUACGCUCUUUCCUUAAAGUUUUAAAGAUCGUAUUGGGCCGGAAAUACCGCAUGCGACAGAUCAUUUCAUAGUUUAGCUGUAUGAGGCAGGAAGUUUCUAGAGAAAUGCACAGUUGAGGAUUGCCAACCAUCUAAGUGGUGAAGAUAUAAAUGAUGUAGCGUAAAGCGGUGACGGAAAGAGGCGGCAGAGAUUAAUCCGAACAAUUCCUCGGAACUUUUAAGUUUGUAGAAAGUAAGGUUCUUAAGAAAUAUCUGUACUAGACACCAGUGUCUAGUGUCUAGGUCUGAUGAUGGACACCUCAAACCUUAUAGAAAUACAUAUAGUUUUUUUUUCAUCAAUAUCUCUAGGUGUUUUAUUUAAAAAAAGUUAUAUUUGAUCAAGUGAAACUGCUGAUGUUGUCCAGAACGGAACUUUUCAACGCACGCGUUUUGUAUUCUUUAUUAAGCUUGUAGCGAGUAACGUUCUUAAGGUGUAUUUAUAUCAAUGUUCAGUUCUGAUGAUGGGUCUCAUAAAUAAUCGAGGGAAUUCCUGACAUCUUAUAAUUUCUGGAUUCUUAUUUACAUAUCAAGCAUUUUUAUUAAAAUGUGACAUUUGACGAAAUGCAACAGCUGAUGCUGGCCAAAAUGGAACUCGCCAAUUCGCGCGCGAUAUGUUUUAUUUGUUUAUUUUGUAGCAAGUAAAGUUCUUGAAGACAUUUGUGUCAUAAGGUCUAGUUCUGAGGAUGGGUUCCAUGAGAAAUCGAAGAAAUUCCUCAAAUCUUAUAGGCAUACAAUACAUACAGUAAUGUUUGGAUUCUCGUCAACAUAUCAAGCAUUUUUAUUUAAACAAGUUAGUGAUAUUGACCAGAACGGAACUCUUCAACGCGCGCGAUUCUUAUUCUUUGUUAAGUUUGUAGCAAGCUAGGUUCUUAGGAAACAUUUGUGUCAAGGUCCAGUUCUGAUGAUGGAUUCAAUGAGGAAUUGAGGAUUUUAAAUCGAUUUGAAUUCACAAUUAGGAGGAAUUGAGGAUUUUCGUCAACAUAUCAAGUUUUUUUUAUUUGAACAAGUGACAUUUGAUGAAGUGAAACUGCUGAUAUUACUGAAACUAUGCUGAUACUGCUGAAAUGGAACUCUUCAACGACAAGUAUUUUACCUUAGGCGUUUUUUUUAUUUUAUUUCGUUUAUAGCAUGUAAGGCUUUUAAGGAACAUUUGUGUCAAGGUCCAGUUCUGAUGAUAGGUUCUACGAGAAACUGAAGGAGCUUCUCAUAUUGUAUAGGAUAGGCAUACAUAUAGUCAUUUUAGGAUUUUCAUCAAUAUUACACGCAUUUUUACUCAAUAAAGUGACAUUUGUUGAAGUAGAAUUGCUGAUGAAGAACGGAACACCUCAACGACUUCCAGAUUCUUUAUUUUUAUUACUCUUCUUUCUUUUUCAUUAUUCUUAGAACAGGUAUUUCUACGAAGUGAACCGAACUGCUACUAUUAAAAGUAGGUAGGUAGGUAGGUUAAAUAGGUUAAGACUGUAAGGAUUAUUAUGUAUAAGUAGUUUCUUUUAAUUAAACAUAGGUAAGUAAUUCUAUUUAAGUAUAAGUAUCUUUAAAAAAACAUCAAUCGACUCUUAUCUGUCACUAGUUCCAGUUUCAGAGUAUAAAAUCCGGGUACACAUGCAGCCACGGCUAGCUGGGUAGCCAGACAGUUCGAAUACGGACAAGUUAUUGUGAAUAAAAAAUCUUAUCGUCUUGCAAAAGUUAAUGUCAUAAAUGUAUAGGUUUCGAAUACAUGAAUAUAAAGUGAAAAUGCUGGUAAAAGUAUUAGUUUUUAUCAUUAACCAUUUUAUAUCCCAACAAAACUGUUACCCUUACAAAAAUAAAAUGCUUUCAUUACCUAAUGUAGGUUACGUUAGGUAAUAAAUAAAUAAAUAUGUAGGGACAAUCUUACACAGAUUGGCCCCAAACUAAUCAAAGCUUGUACUAUGGGUACUAGGCGACGUUAAACAUACUUAUUUAGAUAAAUAUAUAUUUACGUAUAUACAUAGAAAACACGCAAGCCUUAGGAACAAAUACGCGAUUCAAACUCGGGACCAUCGGCUUCAUAGGCAGGGUCACUACCCACUAGGCCAAACCGGUCGGCAAAAGGUAAAGAUAAUUAGGUAAAGACAAUGAAUAAUUAAACUUAUUAUAAAUUGACACCAAUAUCCAUCAAAUAGUAUAACUAGGUAUGCUAAGAGCGGGCUUCAGGCCAUUACGUCGCACCUUUAGAAUUAAAUUAAUUUGACUCAAAAAGUACGACUACUUUAUAUAUGUAGUUUGGUAGAACAGUAAGAACUCACUAUAUGUGUCUCUUUUUCAUGCGGUGAAAUCCCCCCCACCCGGAAAGGAUAGCGACGCCCAUUUUAUCGACUCUCGAGUCGACUCCAAUCUGAUACUAAUAAAACCAUACGGAAAUAAUGAGGAUGCAUCGACAUAAGAAGAAUCGAACAUGGGCAAGAUAAAGUUCAAGAAAAAAGCAAAUAUAAUGUGUACUUGUGUGUAGUCAAAGAAAGUUGAAAAAUAAAGCAUAAUUAAUGGCCAUAGAAUACAGAACCGAUACACGAACAUUAAGACUAUUAAAAAUAGACAUAUAGGUUGAUCGUACUACUCGUACUAAUGUAUAUCUUUUGUUCAAUUAUAUUAUUGCAUUAAAGUUAGAUUCUCUAGAUAUAUAUUAUUCAUAGGUUCUGUAUUCUAUACGAAUUGUUUCAGUGUAAUUAUUGUACUAAAUACCGUUGACCGCCUGUCAACAGUAUUUAUUUCUACAUUACUAUCACAGAAGAUUUUAGGCCCUACCGUACAGUUUUUGAAUUAGUAUUUACUAUGGACAAAUAUAGCGAAAUGUGAGUUUUUACCUAAAAUAUCAAUCUUUUGUGAACGUGGUGUAGAGUAUAUACCGCCUAAGACUGAAGUAGCUACGCGGGUUACGUUUUAAAAAUAGAAUCGUGUUCAUGGUCGGCCCAUGGUAAAAAUAAUUAGGUACCCGUAGACCCGCUGGUGAACACUGUUUAUGAUAACACUAAAUAAACCCCGUGGACCCACCAGGAGAACAUAUUGGAGAGACUAGAGAUAAUACACCGCUUUAAGGGCGGUCGCACUCGGCAUUGACAUCUGGCGUCUAGAUGGCGGGUGGACCUCAGCGAAUUUCAAAGAAAUAUUUAUAAACAUCCAAUGACGUUCGGCUCGGACACCAGAUCUUCAAUCUCCUGAUUCCUGUGGAGUCUCCAGGUUCCAUCCUCUCCACGUGUGAGUCCUAGGAUUUUUCGCGCUGCCAGACUCCGAUGACUCGGGCACGUAGUCCAGAUGGGUGAGGAUCGUGCAGCCUGGAGGGCGUACUCUGAAGUUCCAAAUGGCCGAAGACCGUCUAGACGUCCUAGGUAGGUCCCGCUGGAGAGACGAAAUGCAAAAAGACCUUAGCGAACUCGGCGCCGUCGACUAGAUGGAAACGGUUUUGGACAGAGAAGCAUGGCGGUCUUUGGUGUCGGAGGCCAAGAUCCACUUCGGGUCGCUGCGCCAUAGCAGUAAGUAUUUAUAAACAUACUGUACCUUAUGUGUACCUAACCCAAAACGAGAUAUUUAAGAAAAAGUCCACCCGCCAUUCUGACGUCAGGAUUGCGGUUGGACCUAUGAAAUCUUGCAUUAUACCGCACUAAAAGUAUGCAGUUAUAUGGUACAGUCGCCAUCAGAUAUAUCGGAGUGGCCGAGGUGCUCAAAGAUCUCUAAACACGCACUCUAACCUCUUGACAGUAGAGGCAUGUUCAGAUAUUCGUGGGUACCUUGGCCGCUCCGAUAUAUAUGAUGGUGACUGUACCUUCAGUGUACCUCUGUAAAUAGAAAUAGAAACCGGUGUACCUCUCCCCAAAACAAGCUAGGCUAAGCUCAUGCACAAUAUAACUGCAUACUUUUAGUGCGGUAUAAUGCAAGAUUUCAUAGGUCCACCCGCCAUCCUGACGUCAGGUUAGCGGGUGGACCGUUUUGUAAAAUAUCUCGUUUUGGGGAAAGGUACACUGGUUUCUAUUAAAGGUACACUGAGGUACACAGAAGGUACAAUAUGUUUAUAAAUAUUUCUUUGAAAUUCGCUGAGGUCCACCGCCAUCCUGACGCUUACCAUAUAUCUAAGGACCGACCUUAGGGGCAAUAACGAUAGUGCUAGUUCAGUUGUGUCAUUCACAAAUUCGAGCCAAUCGUGCUGUCUAACGCAACUAGAUGCGAUCAAUCGCGUGCGUAAUGCGAACUCAUCAACCAAUCACGUUGUGGUACUUGUGGCGUUAGACUGCACGAUUGGCUCAAACUCGUGUGCGUAACACCGCUGUACUGGCCCCAUUCUUAUUGCCCGUAAGGCCCGUCCUCAGAUAUAUUGUGUCAAUGACUGAAUGAUUUUAAAAAAUCACAUCGCUUCUGCUACCAAGUUGUUGAGCAUAACGUUUUCCUAUCCAUAGGUUCCAUCUGUCCAGUAGGAUCCACCAUCUCGAUUCACCAGAUUGAAGAGAUUGUUACUUAACUGAUGGAUCGAGAUAAUGAAACCUACUGAAUAGAGCGGGUCGAUUGGAUAUAACAAAGUACGCUUAUAUGAAACGCUACUCCGGUGUGCGAGUGAGACAGUCAGGCCAAUUUGAACUUGCAUUUGACAGAAAACUGUCUCCAUCAAACGCUACCAGUUCCAUUGCCGGCCUCUUUGCUGCCUUCUAUAGUGGUUCAAUCGUACCUUGCAUAAGCAAGGUACGAUUGAACCAUAAAAUAAAAUAAAAAGUAAAAUAAAAUUAUUCAUAAAAUAAAAAGGGGCGUGCACACCGAUAUUAGAGUAAUAUUGGAAUCAUAUCAGUUAGUUGCGGGCGUCUCGCUCGCACAAAUACAUGCGUAUAAGUGCGAAAUGAACGCACGAAUGACAGCUAACUGGUAUCAUUCCAAUAUUAUUCUAAAAUUGGUUUAAUGUCAGUUGCACUUUCGAAUUGGCCUACAUAGCGAUUUCCUUAGCCUGUACACCGGAUCGGCGUGUGGGCCGGCAUCUAGCUAAUGUAAAGCCACCUCAUUAGGUGCUUUUAGCCUUUUGAACGGCAAGAACACCUAAAGAUGUGGUGAGAGAAAGCCGCGCGUCCCUCAUGCACUGCACUAGCUUUACAGCUUGCAUUGCGACCAAUGUAUGCCGCUCACCGCCCCGCCGGUCGCGUGGGUCCAAUCCACGGCCCUAGAAGACGUACUUUACAUAUAAACAAGAGCACGCGAGCAUAUUGCGAGUUGUGUAUGUGUACUUCCCAACUAGCAAAAUUUCGUCAUAUAAUGGUUGCGGCAACGUUUCUGCGGUAUCCUUUUAGCUCUUACUAUUAGUCAUCAUUACGAAAUCAUUACGUUUAUAUGACGCGAUUUGGGCCCAUUUUAUUCAGCAUUUCAGUCAUAUAAAAGUUGUUUAACUGCAACCACCGCCACUUAUAGAUCUUAUAAUAACCACCGCCGUGACUAUCUUAUGACAAUUUAGCUGUAUAUUAGCAAAUUACAUGACUUAAAUAUGACUGAACUGAUCUGUAACUUCCAUUUAUAUGACAUAUUUGUGGAGUAAUCGCAUCCUAGGCUACUAAACAAUAGAAUAUAACUCGAUACUACACGCGCGAGUUGAGUGUUGACGGUAAGUAUUUUCUUUAUUAGUCAGCCAUGAUGUUACAUGUUUUUAUUAAGAAUGCUCAUAACAUCGGCGUAUGGUAGAAAUGUAUUGCGAAGGAAAGUUUAUUGAUGAAGUAAACUAUGUUUAAUAGUAAAUAUUUAAUGCCCCACUAUAAUUCUUAGUUAAUUAAAUAUAAAUUUAAUUAAUAUUGAUGAUUUUCUUGAACGCCGCGGUUAUACGGCAUUUAUCCAGUUAUAAGCUAUAUAAUCGCAUCUUAUAUAGCAAGUUUAGCGGUCAAAGCGCCAUUAUACAUAUUUUGUCGGACAUAUUUUAGGGUUCGUUAGAGUUUCUGAAAAAACCUUUUUACAGAUUUUAGUAUUUUAUUUCUAGAGACAAGUAGCACCGUGAAAUAUGGUCAUUGUAGCUGAUGUGGACUGUUUUUUAAGAAAAGAAGAUCAAUUGUGGAGUGAUACUGAUGUACAGUGGCCUUGGAGCGAGACUCAUUUCAUUUUGUCUUCGAUGUGUAUUGGAUGCGGAUACUCAACGUCCCCGUUGACAAUUGAUCCCACACAUUUUAUCAUAUCGGACAAUAAUAUAAAAAAUCUACACGACACCAUUUUUUUCUGGUGCCCAAACUGUUCAGAGUACGCUAUAUAUGAUCACUAUCCAUUAGAGGAAUGUGAGUUUUGUGUGAAUACUGACAAUACUGACAAUCAUCCCCAAAUCAUCCAAAUCUUCGGAUCCACUGCUCUCAUCAACAUUGAAUUGGAGUUCCAUUUCCUGUACGGAGCUAUCUUCUACAACGCCACCAACAUCAACGUGCAUGUUUUCCGACUCUGCAGUACUAGUUUUUUUUUCGGUCACAUUUGUUAUUUCUACGGAACCACUUGAAAAAUAGGCACUUGUCACUUCACUUCGGUUUACCGAAAUUCCUUGCGUAAGAGUAGUUUUUAAAUUGGUGAUAAUAGAUUGCCGCUUCUUUUUCAUUUUCCUCUUGUAUCCACCGGUCUUUUUCAUGUUUUUCCAUUGAAUCCAGUCCAUUUUCAUAUACUAAAUGUUUAUAUCCAAACAACGUGUCGGAUGUCUUUAAAUGAUGUUUAAGAGCUAUAACAAUCAUAAAAAGGUAGCAUUUAUACUAAAUAGUGGUAUAAUAGCAAAGUUGUAUCAUUUACUCAACUACGUUUAAUUCUGCUCCAAUAAAGGCAUAUAAAAUGUCAUUACUCGACCAAAUAGUCACAUGAGCAUCAGGUAGAGGUAAGUUAUUCAGCAAUAUCUAAAUCGCUGAAUAAGAUACUCAUAUAUAACAUGUUCUAUAAUUCCCGUUUAUAUGACAGCAUGUAACAUAUAUAGCUAUUUUGCUGUAUAAGUUACAUGAUGUCAUAUAAUAGCAAACUACAUUGCUUUUACUCGACUGCACUUGACAUGUCGUAAGUCAGAUAUAUAAGUCACUGUUACUCGACUAAAUAGUCAUAUAAGCCACGUAAAAAAGUGACUUAUUCAGCAUUUCUUAUAUGACUUAUUAGUCAUAUAAUCAAGUCGAGUAAACGUUUACUUGACUUGCUUACAUGACUGAUAUGCUGAGUAACUAAAAAGCUGCAUAAGCUGGCUUUAUACGACAUGUGCUGUAUAAUUCACGUCUACAUGACCUUUAUAUGAUUUAUUAGCUGAAUAAGCUCAAUCUUAUAUGACUACUUUGCUAGUUGGGUUGUGUUAUCUAGGCGCACAAACGGUUACAAUAACAAGAAGUGUACACCGCGUGUGCAGUCCAACACGGGAGCACGGGUGCGAUUCGAAAAUAACGCGCUAGCGACGCAUUACGACAUUGAUACUUUACCAUUCGAACGCCAUAAACAAAAACGUUACUCACACGCCAAGGUCACGGGCGCAAGUGAGCUUGAAAGUGCAUGAGUAUUACAUUAGGGACUUUGACAGCGAUUAUAACAGCUAUAAUCAUUAAUGUGUUCAUGGCCCUUAAAUCAUGUCUAGUGACGGCGCCUUUAGGUGUUCUUGACGUUCAAAAGGUUAAGGGCGUUUGCUAGCUGGCGCUAGUGCACGGAGCGGGCAAACACGCGCAGGUGCCUUUGUAAGUAAAAUCAGUCGCACGCGUCCGCGCCAGUUAGCGUUGCUGAUACUGUAAGCCGCACGCCCGCUCCAUGCACACGCGCGACGUUGCGGACGCCCUAUGCCCUAAACCUUACUUGAAAGUGUGAAGGUUACUCUGACAGCGGCUAUAUCAGCUAUAAUGUAUUUAUGACGCUUUGAGCAUAGCUAGUUAAGACGCCUUAAGGUAUUCUUGGCGUUUAAAAGGUUAAGGGCGUUUGCUAGCUGGCGCGAGUGCACGGAGCGGGUGCACGCGCGCGGGUGCCUUUGUAGGUAAAAUUCGUUGCACGCGUCCGCGCCAGUUAGCGUCGCCAGUUACUGUUUUUCGUUAACCCGCUCCAGCUAGCAAACUAAUCGCAAAUGGUCCGAGAUUGGCGCAAUAACCAUGCAUUCCCUUAUCUGGAUCUGGAUGCACCUAUUCACCAAUGCUUGCUUUAAAGUAACUUGUCGACUCGUCCUGAUAAUAUUUGUGCGACCGUGAAGAAAAUCUAUGCCGUCACUUAUUUUUCAAUUUAUAUGAAAUAAAGAUGUUAAAUGUA